CCUGGCUCAGAUUGAACGCUGGCGGCAGGCCUAACACAUGCAAGUCGAGCGGUAGCACAAGAGAGCUUGCUCUCUGGGUGACGAGCGGCGGACGGGUGAGUAAUGUCUGGGAAACUGCCUGAUGGAGGGGGAUAACUACUGGAAACGGUAGCUAAUACCGCAUGACGUCUUCGGACCAAAGUGGGGGACCUUCGGGCCUCACGCCAUCAGAUGUGCCCAGAUGGGAUUAGCUAGUAGGUGGGGUAAUGGCUCACCUAGGCGACGAUCUCUAGCUGGUCUGAGAGGAUGACCAGCCACACUGGAACUGAGACACGGUCCAGACUCCUACGG
rnacentral:rRNA from 1 species